CGGCCCUCUGGGUCGCGGAGCGGGAUGAACUCUGGCGCGGGCGGCGGCAGCGGCGGCGGCUGCGCUGGGGCCGCGGCGCGGUCCCGAGGGGGCAGUCCCGGAGGGGAUGGCUUUGCCCCGUCGGCUCUGGGGACUCGAGAGCAUUGGGAUGCUGUCUAUGAGAGAGAACUGCAAACUUUCCAAGAAUAUGGAGAUACAGGAGAAAUCUGGUUUGGAGAAGAGAGUAUGAAUCGGCUAAUAAGGUGGAUGCAAAAACGCGAGAUUCCAUUGGACGCUUCAGUGCUUGAUAUUGGAACUGGAAAUGGUGUUUUCUUGGUUGAACUUGCAAAAUUUGGAUUUUCUAAUAUUACUGGAAUUGAUUACUCUCCUUCUGCAAUACAGCUUUCUGGAAGUAUUAUAGAGAAAGAAGGUUUAUCUAACAUUAAGUUGAAGGUAGAAGACUUUUUGCAUCUUUCCACAGAGCUGUCUGGAUUUCAUAUUUGUGUUGACAAGGGGACUUUUGAUGCCAUAAGCCUUAAUCCUGACAGUGCAAUCGAGAAGAGGAAGCAAUAUGUGAAAUCCCUCUCCAGGGUGUUGAACGUCAAAGGCUUUUUCCUAAUAACCUCAUGUAAUUGGACCAAGGAAGAGUUGCUAAACGAAUUCAGUGAAGAACAUUUCUUUGGAGCAGGUUUGAGAAACGGAGACAGAAACAGUUGUGUAGACGUCACGUAAUAGGGGUGUGAAUGAGUAUUAAGUAAGAAAAAUCAAUGUGAAGCCACUUAGCAUGAUUCCUAGCAAACGCCAGUGCCAGGUAAAUAUUCUCUCCUCCAAGAAUCCGUCUGCCCAUUGGGGCUGAUAGAUUGGCUUGUUUGAGAUUUUACCCCUCAGUGCCACUGAGUUAUGUCUUCAGGUCCACUGUAUUCCAAGGGUGUUUCGAUGGCGGGGAGAGGCCAAGUGGUGGAUAGCUUGCAUUACCCAGAGCUCUUCAUCCAGUGAGUUGCAAGCGUGACAUUUGCUGUGUUUUCAGCACCUGCCAACUUGGAAACCAGGGUUUGUGCUCAGGACUUAGGCUUACAACCCACACUUUGUGGUGCACAAUGCUGUCCCAGCUGGCAUGCUUCGUACCUCAAUGGUGCUAGACGUUUGGUUACAAAGCUGUGCGGAUUCACAUGCGCUGAUUUCAAUAGGCAUUCCGCUUCAAGCUGCUUUCAACUCUCAUUUUGUAUCAAAGGAGUUAGAUUGGUAUCAUUAAAUUCACUGCCAUGGUUAUUUUUCAAUGAAAAUACAUUUGUUUUAUUUAGUUCUUGAAUCAAAAAGUAACUUGGUCUUCAAGAAUCUAAGUGCCUCUUAAAAAAGGUGUGUAUAUAGAUAGGGGAGAUACCUCUCUCUCUAUGUGUAGAUAUUUCUCCUUACCUACUUACCUACCUGUCUGUCUGUCUGUCGAUAUGAGAGAGAUUCCAGCCAGAGCUAUAAUUCCUUUUCCUCAGUGGAAAAGUUUCAGAACACAAUAUAAAAGAUCAGAAAGGAAAGAAUGGAAGGAUUAGUGUGUCCUAACAUGCAUGUGUAGGUAGGGCUGUUAGUUGUAGCUGGCUCAUAGAUGAAUAAAAUCUACAUUAGAAAAUUGUCCCCAUAGUAGAUUCAGAUUUUUGGCUUUUAUCUGUAACCAAAAACUUUCCAUAUUUUCCAAAGAAAUGUAUUUUGCUAACUUGUUUUCCGUAGCCAGUCUUUUUGAAAAUGCUUCAGGUGGACUUGGUGGUGUUUGUCUUCCCAUCAUCUAUUAUAAGCAACUUUAAAAGGUUCUGCUUUAUAAAAGAUCUUUUCAGAUUUAGAAAGGACAGUGUGAAAUGUGAAUGACUGGCUUUUAAUACAACAGUUGUGACAAAGAGGCAGUGGCUUUUGGAAGCCGAAUAAAGGGGUUAAUACACACACAUCUGCGUACUGUGCUGUUGGGUCCAGUGUAUAACAAGUUUGAUGUUUGUUUCAUUCACUUUAUUCUAAAAAAGAAUCUACUGUGUUAUUCUCAGAGACAAACUAGUUUAUGACUUUUUAGUGGUGAGCUUUUUUUACAGCUAUAGGCACACAUAGAUUUGAUGGGUUAAACUGAACAACAUUGACUGGUACUUGAUCAGACUUCAAAGCUUAGCUCCUUGUUGCUUGAAUAUCACAUUCAUCUGCUUCUAAAGGCACAAAAAUAAAACACCCACUAACUACCUAGGACACUCCUUAGUGCCUAUCAGAAUCCAACCUUUACCCUCCUCUGCACAAAUGUGCUUCGGUGAAUACUUUAUUAGCUUGUUGAUACAAGUUAUAGUUGGCUACACCCUUUCUUAAUAAAAUACACCCUUACUGUCUCCUAUUGCUUAAGAGCUUUACACUUGGAAUAGGGCAACUCUGUAGUGUAGAAUUUAAUUCAGUUUAAAUUCUCCCGGACAGUUUUGAGGAGACAUGAUGGAUGUGUGCUGUACACACAGGCGUUCCUCCCUUUGGUGGUUCUGCUUUGAGAGGGGCCAGGAGAGGCAAUAUUGCUGUGCGUUAUCCCUGUUUCAUUGAUCGGUCUUGGAGGGAGACCGUAUGGGAUCCCUGCAUUUUAUAGUUCCCAGGUGUUCGUGGCUUACCCCGGUUAGUGUUGGUCAAUGAUAAUGGAAAAGUUACAAGUGAUCAUUUCGGAUUAUUUAUGGAUUUAUUCCUAAAUUGACAUACGAAUUUGUGUUUAGUUGCCUGGUAGUGCUCUAAAUCUGGUUUCGAUUUGGUUUUGACCUUUAAGGAUUGAACAAAGGUAGACACCCCCCCCCCCCAAUACAGCUUACAUUGUUUUACAUCCAGAGUUCAGCUGCAUUUAUAUUUGCGCUUCUGAGUUGAGCAAAACUGUAAUAUACAACCUUUGGGUAGGACUUUUUAAGUAAUAAACAACUAUGUAGUAUACAGCCUUAAAGAGUGGGGGUGUUUUAGAUGUAUAGGACUUAACUGCAUAAUGUGGAAAGAGCCACAUAGUAUCUGGAAGGUAAAGCAAUCCAGGCCUUAAUGUAUAUACCGGUUAGCUUUUGGAGAUUCAAAUUAAGUACAUGAGAAAUAGCCAUUCAUUGGUUAGUAGCACAACUCCUUGAGCAGGUAUUUUAGUUUGUGCAUUUGCAAGAAAGCCUCAGAACCAGAAAAACAGGCUGCUUUAGGUUGGAAAGGAGGCGUUGCAGUAAACGGGCUUGCCAUGACCACAAUCCUUGGAAUUUUCUGAGACUAAAAUCAUCCUGAAAGAAACAAGAAUCAUGGUUGCAAUAAUUGUCUCCAGGCUCUGGACCCCUGCAUUUUAUUUUCUGUGUUGACCCGAUGAAGUAGUAAUUGUGGGAAUAAGCUGAAUGUUUGCCAGCAGGAGUCACUCUAGGCUUCCUCAUAAAAAGUAAAUUAAACUAUAUUCUUAAAGCUCUCAAAGGCCGAGGUGACACUGUGAUAAAAUGGCAUUAGGGAAGUGUAGCAGUAUUCUCAAAUUAUCCCUUGUACCUUUCUUUGUUUCACUUAGGAAGACUUAGUUCUUGCUCCUUUCAAAACUGGCCCUUGAUAAAUUCUUGUAAAGCAAUGUUUAUGGAUAAGGAUAUCAGAAUCUUAGCAUUCUCCCUGUUAGCUCAUUUUGGCUUUUGUGGGAUGAAUGGGUUAUAUCCCACAUCACCUACUUGAAUGAGUAGACUCACAUCCUUCUGACUGUAGGUCAUCCUAAUCUUGCAGAAGAAACCACUGGAGUGAGCUGUAGCUCGUGUGAAAGAUGUGAGCUUAUGAUUUUCUGAAAAAGAAUGGGUCCAGUGUGAGAGAAACUGAAAUAUUUCAGCAAGAGCCAUGAAAUAUAAGAGUUUCCCAAGUGCUCAAGAAGUUAAUUGUUCAUUUAUGUUUGAUACUGGGAUUGAAACAUUGGAUUAAAACCAAUUAAAUGUUCCUAGAAGCAACAGAAAAAGUUUCCUGAUUUAUGAAUAGAACCAUUCAAAUGGCGCAGACACAAUCCAUGUAAAGUAAUGAGGUGUUUUGUUUUUUUGGCAAAGGAGAACACAAAACAGGCAUAGGGGAGUUCUUUAAAAAAAAAAAAAAUCCUCCUCCUUAAAAAUCUCUUUGGAUACAAGGU